ensembl:snoRNA
AUUCUUUUGUAGUUCAUAAGCUGGAUUAUUGAGUAUUCGCACACAUGUGUGAGAUGUGCCACCCUUGAACCUUGUUACAACGUGGGCACAUUACUCACUUGACA